UGAGUACGAGAUGCUACGGCAUCGAAGCAGUCUAUGUCAUACUUCCAAGAAAAGCUUGCAAUGUCAUAAACAAAUAAUGCCUGUACCAUAACCGACACAGGUGGGUAGGUAGAGUAUACUAAGGGGCGCGAGAUAACUCUCUCUAAGGAACUCGGCAAAAUGACUCCGUAACUUCGGGAGAAGGAGUGCCUUAUUUUUAUAAGGUUGCAAUAACAAGAUCCAAGCAACUGUUUACCAAAAACACAGGUCUCCGCUAAGUCGUAAGACGAUGUAUGGGGGCUGACGCCUGCCCAGUGCCAGAAGGUUAAAGAAGUUGGUUAGCAUUAGCGAAGCUGAUAACUGAAGCCCUGGUGAACGGCGGCCGUAACGAUAACGGUCCUAAGGUAGCGAAAUUCCUUGUCGGGUAAGUUCCGACCCGCACGAAAGGCGUAAUGAUUUGGAUACUGUCUCGGAGAGGGGCUCGGUGAAAUAGACUUGUCUGUGAAGAUGCGGACUACCUGCACCUGGACAGAAAGACCCUAUGAAGCUUUACUGUAACUUGAGAUUGAAAUUGGACUUUAUCUGCGCAGUAUAGGUGGGAGACGUUGAAAAUAUUCUUGCGGGAAUAUUGGAGUCAUCAGUGAGAUACCACUCUUAUAAUGUUAGAUUUCUAACUUUGUAUCAUUAUCUGGUCAAAGAACAGUUUCAGGCGGGCAGUUUGACUGGGGCGGUCGCCUCCCAAACGGUAACGGAGGCGCACAAAGGUUUCCUCUGAACGUGUAGAAAUCGUAUCUAGAGUGUAAAGGCAUAAGGAAGCUUGACUGUGAGACCUACAAGUCGAGCAGGGACGAAAGUCGGUCUUAGUGAUCUGACGGUGCUGAGUGGAAAGGCCGUCACUCAACGGAUAAAAGUUACUCUAAGGAUAACAGGCUGAUCUCCCCCAAGAGUUCACAUCGACGGGGAAGUUUGGCACCUCGAUGUCGGCUCAUCGCAUCCUGGGGCGGUAGUACGUCCCAAGGGUUGGGCUGUUCGCCCAUGAAAGCGGUACGCGAGCUGGGUUCAGAACGCCGUGAGACAGUUCGGUCCAUAUCCGGUGUAGGCGUUAGAAUAUUGAGAGGAGCCUUCUUUAGUACGAGAGGACCGAGAAGGACAUACCUCUGGUGUACCAGUUAUCGUGCCAACGGUAAACGCUGGGUAGCCAUGUAUGGAGAGGAUAACCGCUGAAAGCAUCUAAGUGGGAAGCCCACCUCAAGAUAAGUAUUCUCAU
rnacentral:rRNA from 1 species